CAAUCUGGCCCCAAACGUCAAUUGAGGAAGUUGAGAAGCAAUAAUCUAGAGCUAAUUAUUCCCCUCGAGUGAGACAAGACUCUUUUAUGUGCCCCGUUCGCUGCCCCACCAGGCAUGGGGUUUCCAGUGUGGGCUGUGGGAGCAGACACUAUUCCCAGCGUGCAUGAGUGGUGAGCACUCUUCACCUUAACCUUUUCAGUUUACUCUUUUACCCAGCUUCGCAUGGAUUCCUAACCUGUACAGGCUGAUGAGUACUCAGCUGAGGGAUGGAGGGAGAUUCUCUUUAUGGAUCUCCAGAGUUCUUUGCAACUUUUUCUCCACUCUUCUUUCUGGCAAAUUCUACCUGCCCUGCUCCACAUGGCAUCCCCUCCCUACCUGUAGCCUGGAAACUCUCUGAAGAUAGCGAGCCUAGACAAUCAUCAGGAUGGUCUUGUUUAUUUCUCACCUUGAAAGGAUCACUGUGCUACAUUGCCUAGCAUGCCAUGUCCCAUAAAUGGUUGCUUCAUA